ACAAUAGUUCAGUGGUGGUAAAGCAUGUGCUUUGCAUGCAGACGGACCCUAGUUCAACUCCAGGUAUCGCCG